UACGUAGGGUGCAAGCGUUAAUCGGAAUUACUGGGCGUAAAGCGUGCGCAGGCGGCUAUACAAGACAGGUGUGAAAUCCCCGGGCUUAACCUGGGAACUGCACUUGUGACUGUAUGGCUAGAGUGCGUCAGAGGGAGGUGGAAUUCCGCGUGUAGCAGUGAAAUGCGUAGAGAUGCGGAGGAACACCGAUGGCGAAGGCAGCCUCCUGGGAUGACACUGACGCUCAUGCACGAAAGCGUGGGGAG
rnacentral:rRNA from 1 species